CAUGCCAACUAUGUAUGAUCGGUGGUCGUUAUCGCAAAUCAGAAAUCAGAAAUCGACAAAUACCCGUACUAAAGUGAAAAUCCUCGAGUGCUACAUAUGUACAUAUGUCCGCAUUGUGUAGGCAUCGCCACCGCCACCGCCACCGCCACCGCCACCGCCUCCAUUGUCAAUUUAAAUUAAUAACGCUUCAACCACUAUAAAUCGACCCACCAGAAGGCCCUAGCAACUGGAAAGGGCAACUAGAUGUACUUGUUGAUAGUGAGUAUGCCAUUCUCUAAAUAAUCAAUUGAACUUACACUUCCAAGAAUUUAAACUUUUAAUUAGAAAUUCGAAUAUAAAAUAAUAUUAAGCUAAUUUGC